CCUANGGGAGGCAGCAGUCGGGAAUUUUGCUCAAUGGGCGAAAGCCUGAAGCAGCAACGCCGCGUGAGGGAUGACGGCCUUCGGGUUGUAAACCUCUUUUCUCAGGGACGAUGAUGACGGUACCUGAGGAAUAAGCCACGGCAAACUACGUGCCAGCAGCCGCGGUAAUACGUAGGUGGCGAGCGUUGUCCGGAUUUACUGGGCGUAAAGAGCGCGCAGGCGGUCGAUCAAGUCGGAUGUGAAAGCCCCCGGCUCAACUGGGGAGGGUCAUUCGAUACUGGUCGACUCGAAGGCAGGAGAGGGAAGCGGAAUUCCCGGUGUAGUGGUGAAAUGCGUAGAUAUCGGGAGGAACACCAGUGGCGAAGGCGGCUUCCUGGCCUGUUCUUGACGCUGAGGCGCGAAAGCUAGGGGAGCAAACGGGAUUAGAUACCCGANUANUC
rnacentral:rRNA from 1 species